AUUACAAAUUUAAAAAGGUUGGGGUCUAUUCGACAAUAAUAAUUGUUCUGUCAACCACGUUUUAUUAAUUGCUGGUUAUAUAUAGAUUUUGAACUUUGCACUCUCAGCGAGCAUUGAUGACAUUUUUAGCUCUUGAAUAAAGUACGCAAUCAGUACUUUAGACAUUUCAAUGCGAAUAACUCAAAGCCCCAUUGCAUUAAUAUUUAGCACAAUCAUGAUCCAUUGCCUUGAACUACGAUUUAACCUUGUAGCGAUAAUAGAAAUCGUGAUUCCAUAA
rnacentral:misc_RNA from 1 species